UGAAUUACCAAGCUGGCUGCACCCACUGGCUCCUGGAUGGGCACUGCCUGGGGGACUCUCUGAAUUUUUAAAAGCACAACUUGUCAUGUGACCAUGGGUAACUGACUUCAGCUCCCGGAGCCUCAUGUGAAUUGCUGAUGGAUGUUGUGUCCUGCUGGAGGGAGGGUCUCUGAAGUCCCUUUCAACACUGGAACUGCCGCACUCUCUCAAGGUCCAGCUUAAAUGCUGACUCCUACACAGCCUUCCCUGAUUCCCUCCGCUGAGUCAUCUUCCCUUUCGCUUGGAACCUAGUGAACCAGCAACUGAAAGGAGCACCACGGGGCUGCUUACCUGACAUAAGUCAGGUGCUCAGUAAAUCCAGAAAGAAUGAAUGAAAGGAUCUCCGAGGUGUGGUGACAACAGAACUGUAUCUCACAGAGGCUGGCAAUCUUAGAGGUUAAACGGAGGCAGGACAGAGUGGGGGAAUGAACCCCAUAUAUCUGUCCCCCCAGCAGCUCUGAGGAAACAGUUACCUGGUCCUUCCCAAUUCACUAACCAAGGAGGCUCCGAAAACUGGCACUUCUGAUGGCUAAAAACCUUCCCCCUCAAAAGAAAAUGGAAAGUCUAGUAGCCAAAUGCACCGAUGAGAUUAUGUGCAUUAAGCUUCCUUU